GGAAAUAUACUGCGUCCGAUCAGGCAGUAAGACCGUUCCUACAUUACUCUCAGAAACACUAUAUUUUGGCACAAAUAAACUAUGGAAAUGAUUAAAAAACAAUGAUGCUAGACUAAAAGAUUUCUAAUUAGAUCAAUGAAUAUGAAUAUGAUGUGGUAUGUGCCAGUUUAUAUAUAAUUUUGUAAGAUGUAUAAGGAAUGCAAAAAUGUAUGCUUAUGCUAGUAUCCCUAUACAAAUGUUUGCGUGAGAUGAUCUGUUUGCAUAUAUUUAGAUAUUAUUUUUACACUCACAAAGAAUGUACAUUUGUGAGCACUCAUGUCUUUCUACAUAUGGCUGAGCUAUUCCAUUUUCUUUCCUUUCUCUAAAAUUUAAUUUACCUUCUGCUUCCCUCAUAUACAUUUCUUAAAGCAAAACCCUUUUCUGUUUUACAAGGCUGAUAGGAUUUUCUUUCCAGGAUAUUUCAGUAAAAAUUAUCGUCCAAGUCAUUCCAUGCAGUUUAAAACCCCCAAUAUCAAAAUAAAUGUGAAAGAAACUGAAUGAGGAAGGAAAACAGUGCUGCAACUUUUGUUCUCUGAUCAGCAUUUUUUCUGUUCAAGACUUCCUGAGUGGUAAAAUAGCUCAGCCACCCAUGAAGUCAAGUCAGAGGGCAGAAAAUUUUUAUAUUACUCAGAUUUCCUCAAGGGGAUGACCACACUGUGACCUCUUUGCUUUCUGUAAAGCUCUGUGACUCAGAGACGUUAUGAUGCUUCUAUUUUAAAGUUUCUCCAGUGAACAUUCAGGCUUUCCUCUGUGACACUUUUCAACUCAAGGCUUCAUUUCUGGGCUCUGUGAAAAAAGUGGUGCACACAUAGAAGGAGGCAACAGUGUGAAUACAAUUAAAGCAGAAGAAGACAAUUCACCAUCUCAUAACUGAAAAUGUGUGAUCUCUCCAUAUUAUCCUCACUUACUUACCAUGGGCAAGACUUCUUUGUGUAUACUGAAAUGAGAAAGAGGAAAUGAUCAGAGGCAAGGAAUGUAUUUUAAAUUGACAUCUGAUGAGGUAGGCAAAAACAGUUCCAGACUGCAGCAGCUUCAUGGAAGAAGAUUUUCA